rnacentral:hammerhead_ribozyme from 1 species
GCGCUGCUGACGAGUCUAAAACAGGACGAAGCAGCUGUCCAGUAC